AGUUUUAAAAUGUUAAUAUAUUUAAGUUUUUUAGUUUCUUAUAUUCUUAAAUUCUAAUUAAUAGUUUUUAAAUUUUUUUAAAAAAAUUACAUUCUUUUAAAACCUAACUAAACCCUAAACCCUAUCUAUACCCUAAACCCAUUUCUCACCGCAUAAUUAACCCAAAAAGUUUUCCUCCUAAACCAAAAACCCAUUUCCCUCUAAACCCAAAAUUUUCCCUCUUAACUAAAGCCCAAUUUCUAUACUUAGCCAAAUUUUCCCCUCUAAACCU
rnacentral:lncRNA from 1 species